GAUGAACGCUGGCGGCGUGCUUAACACAUGCAAGUCGAACGAUGAAGCCCAGCUUGCUGGGUGGAUUAGUGGCGAACGGGUGAGUAACACGUGAGUAACCUGCCCUUAACUCUGGGAUAAGCCUGGGAAACUGGGUCUAAUACCGGAUAGGAGCGUCCACCGCAUGGUGGGUGUUGGAAAGAUUUAUCGGUUUUGGAUGGACUCGCGGCCUAUCAGCUUGUUGGUGAGGUAAUGGCUCACCAAGGCGACGACGGGUAGCCGGCCUGAGAGGGUGACAGGCCACACUGGGACUGAGACACGGCCCAGACUCCUACGGGAGGCAGCAGUGGGGAAUAUUGCACAAUGGGCGCAAGCCUGAUGCAGCGACGCCGCGUGAGGGAUGACGGCCUUCGGGUUGUAAACCUCUUUCAGUAGGGAAGAAGCGAAAGUGACGGUACCUGCAGAAGAAGCACCGGCUAACUACGUG
rnacentral:rRNA from 1 species